rnacentral:rRNA from 1 species
UACAGAGGGUGCGAGCGUUAAUCGGAAUGACUGGGCGUAAAGGGUGCGUAGGUGGUUUAAUAAGUUAGGUGUGAAAGUCCUGGGCUUAACCUGGGGAUUGCGCUUAAGACUGUUGAGCUAGAGUACUGUAGAGGAAGGUGGAAUUUCCGGUGUAGCAGUGAAAUGCGUAGAUAUCGGAAGGAACAUCAGUGGCGAAGGCGACUUUCUGGAUAGCUACUGACACUGAGGCACGAAAGCGUGGGGAGCAAACAGG